rnacentral:rRNA from 1 species
AUGUCACUGGUGCUAUGUGUAACUAGUUGGAUGAAGGGUUGCUCUCCAGCAGCCGAUGAGGAAAGGGCGGCGAUGGUGCCUCUGCCUUCUCCAGCUGGGGAUGAGAUCGUCGACAAAGAUCUGGCGGCGAUGCACACCAAGCGGUGCUGGACGGCGACGGCAAGGGGCGGGGUUGGAGUGGCCAUGGCCAUCUUUGUGCUUCUUGCUUUGCUAUUGCAGACCAAAUGGAUCAACCUCGACGCAGCUUACUACACGUUCUCGCCGGCGGGCACUGGGUUCAGUCAGCAUGGACGCGGCCACUCAUACACGGCGCCCCUGAUACCCAUACCAUUGAGCUGCAGCAACGACACCGACACGUCGUCAUCGACAACAGCGCCACCGCCAGCACCGUCCUCAUCAUCUAACAAACGGCGGUACUAUCCCGGAGUACCGCCGCCUUUGUGCCCGGACUACUUCCGCCACAUCCACACGGACAUGGAGCCGUGGCGCGCGACGGGGAUCGCGCGGGACGCGGUGGAGCGCGCCCAGCCCCACGCCCAGUUCCGGCUGGUGGUUCUGUCCGGCCGCGCCUACGUGGAGAAGUACCGCGACUCGUUCCAGACCCGGGACGUCUUCACGCAGUGGGGCAUCCUGCAGCUGCUGGCCCGCUACCCGGGCCGCGUCCCGGACGUGGACAUCAUGUUCAGCACCCUCGACUCGCCCAGGGUGCUCGCCGCCGACUACCCGUCGCGGUCCGCCGCGCCGCCGCUCUUCCGGUACUGCAAGGAGGAGUCGCGGGAGCUGGCCAUCCUCUUCCCCGACUGGUCCUUCUGGGGCUGGCCGGAGGUGAACGUCCGCCCGUGGGCGCCGCUCAUGGAGGAGCUCGUCCGGGAGAACGCGCGCCUCCCGUGGCCGGAGAGGGAGCCCUACGCGUUCUGGAAGGGCAACCCCGACGUGUCGGAGGUGCGCCAGGACCUGUUCCGGUGCAACAACGACACCGCCGCCGGCAAGGAGUGGAACGCGCGGCUGUUCAAGCAGGACUGGGACGCCGCCGGCCGGAACGGGUUCCGGGACUCGGACCUGACCAAGCAGUGCCGGUACAGGUACAAGAUCUACGUGCAGGGGCACACGUGGUCGGUCAGCGAGAAGUACAUCCUCGCGUGCGACUCGCCGAUGCUCGCCAUCGACACGCCCUUCAGGGACUUCUUCUCGCGGGGGCUCGUCGCCGGCAAGCACUACUGGCUCAUCGACCCGGCCAACAAGUGCCGCGCCGUCAAGUUCGCCGUCGACUGGGGCAACGCCCACCCGGCGCAGGCGCGGCGCAUGGGCGAGGAGGGCAGUGGGUUCACGAGGGAGGAGAUGGGCAUGGACUACGUGUACGAGUACAUGCUCAAUGUGUUGAGGCAGUACAGUGCCCUGCUCCGGUACACGCCCACCGUGCCGGAGAGGGCUGUGGAGGUCAGCCUCGAGUCCAUGGCCUGCCCCAGGCGCGGGCGCGAGAGGGAGUUCAUGAUGGAGUCCAGGGAGAAGUGCGUGGCCGUGGACGAGCCAUGCACGCUGCCGCCGCCAUUCACGGUCGAUCAAGUCAGGGAAAUGGCCGUGAGGGACGAGCAGGUGCGAAGCAAACUACUACAGAUGGUGCGACAUUAG